GCUUUUGGCUGUACCACCCUGAACUAUCUCGUCCCAACUCAGAAGCUAAGCAGAGUGGGGUCUGGCUAGUACUUGGAUAAGUACUGGGAACACCAGGUGCUGUUAGCU
rnacentral:rRNA from 1 species